UAUUUUAUCAAAGGUUCCUUGUGUUGGGUUGGCAAUAUCUCAAGAAAGGGAGGCCCAUGGCUCAUAAGGAAUAAAUACCACAUAAAGUAUGUGAAUCUCUAAUGUCUCAUAAUGCUUCGCAAAUCUAUGCUGCCGUUUGUCAAGUUGGAAAUGUGUCAGAGAGAGGGAAAUCACAUCACGUGACAGCACUGCUUUGAUGGUCAAAAUGUCAUGAUUUUAUGACAAAAAUUAUCUUUCUACAGUGAUUUUUGCUGCAGACUUCGUCCAAAUUGUAGUGGGAAGCUUUAAAUACUUAACUGCAACAGAUUAAUGGCAUCAAGAAUAAUCCAAGUCAACAGCCUUUUCCUCUAUUUGGUAGAUUACCCCUUUGACAGAGCAGUCAAUCCCUCACUGUCGGAUCAUGCUGCCAAAAGUCAUCCAUCUACCUUUAGGAUUUCAGAGCAGAAACCGAGGCUGUGAGUCAGAGGCUCCCUCCAACUCCAUCUUCGUCACAGCAUUUUUGGGAAAGGGGGUAUCCAUUACAAUUUCUAGUCUGCUCCAUGUGCCCACAUCUCUUUCUAUUUUCAGCUCUGUUUUGAGUGGAAAGUUUGAUUGAUAAAGUACAGACUCACAGCGUGAACAGAGAUGAAGGAUUUUUUGAAUAUAAUAAGGAGGAACCAUUAAAAAUGCAUAUUAUCUCAUUAUUCUCACUGCCAAAUAACUGGAAAUAAUCUGCGCAAUAAGAUGGAAAAUGGAUUUUGCUUGUUUUCUCUUCCUGACCCGACAGAGGACACACAAAGAGGAGAGAAGGGAGGGAGGAGACUGAUCGUUUAAAAAAAAACUGCUCUAGUGCACUAAUGUCUGUGAAACCUGAGCUCAUAUUGGAUCUGAAGGACAACAUAAGACGAGCCCUCUCCUCUGCACUCCCUCUGUUUAAAGGGAAGGAGAGGCAAAAAAGCCUUCCAGCAGAGCCCAGUCCAGCUCAGUUCUUCUUCCUGUGAGCCUGUCCCCUCGUCUCUGCCGCCGGGCCAGUUCACCGACCCUUCCUGCAGAGCGGCUGCCCGUUGCUAGCUAGUCCCCGCCGGACGGACGGUUUUCCUGGAGAAGAAGAGACCAGCUUAAGAGUUCUGCGCUGCACCUGCGAUGAUGCUUUGGGGUCUUGACCUUCCUAAAAAGAGAGGCACUCAAGGUUUUGGGAGCAAUUCCAACUGCUCGUCUCCAGGAAAAAGGCAGCAUCCAGGAAGCUCAGGAAUGGAGACACCCACAAAACGCUUCACCACCACACAGGAACAGGCUUGUCCCCCACCUCCACGUGUUCAGGGUUCCUGCUCCAGAGACUGUAUCAUCAUGUGCUCUCUUGCAGGACCAAAGGCUAGGAGUCUAUUAAAAUCACAUGAGAAUCUAAUUAGGGACCUCUUUGUGCAGCAGACCUGGAGGUAGAAGUCAUUGGGGAGCAACUCUGCCAAGACCCUGACACUCGGGGAACACACUCGCCUUUGAUCCCCACGCUCACCCAGGAGAUGACAGAAAUCAAGAGAAACUGACUACACUGAUGUGUUUAGAUUUUGCCAACAACCAGAAAACUCAAGGACUCAUCAGCAGACAAUUACCAGCAUAGGUGGGUGGUUUUGACCCAGUGUCUGUAAGUAAGUAAAUUGUGAUUUAAGAAAAUAAAAAUGUCAAUAAAAAGGAAGAAUUGUGAAAAUAAGUUCCAGAUUCUUUCUGUUCCUCCUUCUACAGGUCAUGUUUGUAAAGUAUUAAUGGGAAGGUCAGGGGAGCGCUGACAUGAACUUUCACUGGGAGGCAUCUUUUGCCCCGCCGUGGUUUCGGGUAUGUCGUCAGUUCAACAAAGAACCAGCGGGCUCUUCUCUUAGCAUGCAAAUGAGACAGGGACAAAUGUCCCAUCACUUCUGGGGCUUCGUGUCCCAAAGUGCUUAACACUUUUCCUGUCAACCUAACACCCCCCCUCCCAACUCCCAUCAACCCCAGCUGCUUCAAAAAUCCAUCCUGAGCCUCCCUCACUCUUUUUUCUCCCAUCUUAUGUUCUUUAAAUGAGUUUCCGACUCCAUUCCUUUCUCACAAUUCAAUUUUACAAGGCCAUUAUCCUGGGUGUAAUGUGGAGGUUAAAUAUAUCGGGGCAGACAUUAUGUGAAAAUAAUUAGUGCUAAUGAAUAAUGCACUCAUUCAGCUGAUGAAGGAUGGUUGUCAGAGUAAUGGAGUUCAAGGGAGGGACCCCUCUGACAAAUGAAAUUAAAAUAUUUAAACACUGUUUUACAAUAUUACAAGGCCCUCACACUCUGUCCCCGCUCCCCCCCUGCGUGGAAUGGACCUGUCCCUGAAAUCUACCCCGCCAUUACUCAGGUGCAACAUCUGUGUCACUAAACAACAGCCAGGCACGAGUAAAUAUCUCAUCACCACACUUUACAUGGAAGAGGCUCUGUCCUGAUAAUGGCACAGAUCUUAUUGACAGCUGCUGUCUUUCUGUCCAAUUAUAUUUCCUCUCUGCUAUUUAUAACCACCAGCCUUUGAACAAUCUCACUCUGCAUCUUUUGCCAGACAGUGAAGGAUUUAGGGUUUAAAUUGCAUAGUUUAUUGUGUCUUUCCAGCCAAUUUGCUUUGAACAAUCAAUAAUGUGGAGCCCAGCAUUUUGUGACUGAUAAAUGGAGCCCCAUUUCUUCAGACAUGGAGAGGCCAAAAGAAAGUGACUUUGACAAGAGACAGAAAACGUAAACCUAUAGUAGGAGUACAGUACUCUACAAAAUAUAUCUGACUGGCUUUCAAAUUGAUCCGUUUGAGUUUAUCAUUAGAAGUUGGGUUUGAUUCUUGUUAUUCAGCAUUUCAGCCACCGUUUGUGCAGGGAUUUAAAAUAACAAUCUGUUUAGUCUUAUGUAGAGUUCGAACUUAUUACUUUGAAUGUAACAUUGACAAAACUAAAACGUUAACCUCUAAAACUGGAUUACAUUCAAGAAUGAAAUUCAGUUUUUUCCUCUGCAGGGUUAGAAGAUCCAAACUUCUUUAAUGUUUGCAGGAUGUUGGCAUUCUCUGAUUGAUUUUAUUUCCCAUUUUCUACUCAAUCAUGAGAAAAAUAAGUGUAUAUUUGUUUGAUUUUUUAAAACAAAAUAAUACUGAUGCAGAGGUGGAGGGGAAGUCCCAGAAAACAGGAAGUUAUGAUGGACAGAGAAAAGACGGACUAGCAAACUUUAGAAAAACUGGGGAUAGAGAGUGUUUUAUAUUGGCUUUAAAGCUGCAUGAUGGGAGUGGUGCGGUGGUGCAGUGGUUAGCGCUCUCACCUCACAGCGAGAAGGCCCUGGCCAAAUUCGUGGCUGGGACCGUCCCGUGUGGAGUUUGCAUGUUGUCCUCAUGCAUGUGUUCUCCAGGCACUUCAGUUUCCUCUCACAGUCCCAAAGCAUGCGUCAGGGGUUAGUUGGUGACUAAACUGUCCCUAGGUUCACUCAUUUGUGAGUGAGUGCUCCAGCGACAGGCUGGUGAUCUGUCUGUUCUUUGCCCUACAGUAAUCAGGACAGGCUCCAGCAACCCUGUGACCCCUAAAGGGAUAAAGAAAGUCAGGAAAAUGGAUGGAUGAAUUGCAUUAUGGAGAUUUGAGAAGUAAUGUUGUCAUGCAUCUAUACAAAUUGCCACAAUUCUUUUUUUCUUUUUCCUUUGCUUGAUUUGAAGGCAACACACUUGUGUGUCUUUUGGAAGAAAAAUCUUUUUGAAGUGUUGCGCAAGUUGUAAAAACAACCAGUUUGCAGAAGGCAAAGUCCAGUCUUUUAACAAUUUGACAAUAUUAAUAAAACAAACCAAAAAAGGCAAAUUAAGGACAGGACGCACUAACAUUAAGACAAACUUCAUGUUUGAAUGACUGUCCAGUGAACAAACCAUUGUUCAGACCAGAAUACAAUGGGAACAGGUCUCUUCCAAUCAAACAGAUUGUAGGCACUUAAAAAAUGGAAAUAAAUUUAAAACAAUUGAAAAAAGAAA